CAAUCCCGCGUGAAAAAGAUUUGGCAUCACCCCUCUCUCUCGCUGACGUUAAAUCGUGAAAAGCCCAAUCCCCUUCUUUUCUUUUCCUCUCUUCUCUUUUCUGCCACCUUCGUAAAAGCCCUAAUCUUUCAAACCUUCAUAAAAGUUUCUCUUCUCUCAUUUCCAACCUUUGUAAAAGCUUUAAAUCUUUCUCCUUUACGCUUUAAUAUUUUUCUACUCCUCUUUCCCCUUAAUAAUUUUCUUGUUCUCCCUUCUUUUCUCCAUAUUUCACUUAAUCGUCUUCACCACUUUGUAAAAUCAUCUUUGCAGUCAUCCAGUCAUUGGCGUUUCCAUUUGGAGGCAUGUUGAAGAGUGGCAGCCAGUUUGAAGAGUCGUCUGAUGUAUCGAAGAAGCCCUCGUAGAAAAAUUAUAGUAGAUAAACCCACCACAUGCGAUUGAAUUUCCUCCCACACAAAACUCUCCACAUACGAUCGACUUCCAAAAGCUUUGGAGUCAUUUCAGAUAAUGAUGGAAAAAGUAAACUCUACUGAGCUUAAGGGAUCUUCCUUUGAUCCAUGUCUGCAGCAACCUCAACCUUGAAUAAUCCAACACAACAAAAUCUUCCGCCCACAAUUUUUGAAUCUAUAGAAGGACAGUAAGGGAAAAAAAUUGACAGCAUCCCUCAAAUUAUAGUAAUUAUCAUGAUAGCAGCCUUCAAUUAUAGCAAUUAUCAUACAUGUUUCCUUUUAGAGAUUGACUCAUAAUCUCAUAUGUCUAUGUAUAUAUGAAGUCUUAUAUGCCUUUUCUAAUUUUGGUUCUGAUCGAUAAGUGUAUUUUUCCUCAUUCAUGUUAAUUGAUUCCUUAUGUUAUACUUUUCAUAAUAGAGGAUUGUAAUAUUAUGUUUGGCAAGGCUGACAUAUAAAUCAGCUUGCUCUUAUCCUUUCAAAUAUAAACUAGAAUUCAUCAUGUUGCCUUAUCUUUUAAGCAUUGCGUUUAUUUUCUGUUUUGUAUUUAUCUAGAUCUCGAGAUUUAUAUCAUCGUUGUGAUGACCCAUGAAACAAAAUUUUAUGUCUUAAUCUAAUUAUGUUAGAGAUUUAGAGAUAUUUCAAAAAGAUAGAAAUCCUAGCUCUGCAAUUUUAGCCACUGCCGGGCUUUGCUCACUGAACUCGACAACCAUGUCUACUUGUCAAGGAUGUCUCUCAUCACGAGUUCCUCAAUGCUCAUGCUACUCAUCUCAAGCAAAUAAAAAAGCUAGAUAUGAACUAAAACAUGGGUAGCACAUGGAAGGAACUGAAGAUUGCUAUCGGCUUCAACACGUGCCUAUGGCUCUCGACUUGCUCGACCAGUUUUGGCCUCGAUUGCCGCUCGGCCACACCCACUUUGUUGUCUUUCGGUCUCCAACUCUCCAAGUCCUCGACAAAAUCCUCAAAGGCAACCUUUUACUAUCUACUUAAAACUUAUGGCUUCUUAACACCUUGAGUUUUGGAGGGAGGCAUUCUUCACAAAAUUCUCAUUCCAAGAGUGCACAGAUUUAUUGGCAAAGCCUACAAUCAAGGCAUUGUUGUUGAAAGAACCGUAGACCGUCCAUGCUUGAACUUAGUUAACAAUCUUUUUUUUUUCUUCUUUUACUUUGGGUGAAUUUAUGUAACUUUGUUUUUAUUGUAAACUAUUGAGUACUUUAUUUUGGGAUGUAAUGAAUUAUAAAAAAAUUCAGUUAUAAAAGGGAUAUGAUGUUAUAUUUAAA